rnacentral:rRNA from 1 species
AACGAACGCUGGCGGCAGGCCUAAACAUGCAAGUCGAACGAACCUUCGGGUUAGUGGCGCACGGGUGCGUAACGCGUGGGAAUGUGCCUCUGGGUGCGGAACAACGUCGGGAAACUGACGCUAAUACCGCAUAAUAUCUACGGAUCAAAGAUUUAUCGCCCAGAGAUCAGCCCGCGUCUGAUUAGCUAGUUGGUGAGGUAAUGGCUCACCAAGGCGACGAUCAGUAGCUGGUCUGAGAGGACGAUCAGCCACACUGGAACUGAGACACGGUCCAGACUCCUACGGGAGGCAGCAGUUAGGAAUAUUGGACAAUGGGGGGAAGCCCUGAUCCAGCCAUGCCGCGUGUGUGAUGAAGGCCUUAGGGUUGUAAAGCACUUUCGGCUGUGAAGAUAAUGACAGUAGCAGAAGAAGAAGCUCCGGCUAAAUUCGUGCCAGCAGCCGCGGUAAU